rnacentral:tRNA from 1 species
AGUCCCGUCGUCUAGAUUGUGGAGGACAUUGGUCAAGGAUAGUGGCCUUUGGAGCCAUUGACGGAGGUUCGAAUCCUCCCGGGACUA